AUACUAAACCAUUUCAGCGAUGCUACUAGCUUACGAGUUAACCUGGCAAAGUCGGUUGCGGUCCCGAUCAACUGCAGCGACAUUGAUCUUCCCACUGUACUACAAGAUUUUGGCGGAGCAACGGCAGGUCUGCCUAUUAGAUACUUAGGCCUCCUAAUCAUGGUUGGCAAGGUUAUAUUAGUUCAUCUCCAAUUCAUUCUAGAUAUGAUUAGGGUGCGGCUAGCAGGGUGGAAGAGGAGGUUAAUGCCGAUGGCUGGAAGACGGGUGCUGCUGUGA
rnacentral:rRNA from 1 species